rnacentral:rRNA from 1 species
AGUGAACGCUGGCGGUAGGCCUAACACAUGCAAGUCGAACGGCAGCACAGUAAGAGCUUGCUCUUACGGGUGGCGAGUGGCGGACGGGUGAGGAAUACAUCGGAAUCUACUUUUUCGUGGGGGAUAACGUAGGGAAACUUACGCUAAUACCGCAUACGACCUACGGGUGAAAGCAGGGGAUCUUCGGACCUUGCGCGAUUGAAUGAGCCGACGUCGGAUUAGCUAGUUGGCGGGGUAAAGGCCCACCAAGGCGACGAUCCGUAGCUGGUCUGAGAGGAUGAUCAGCCACACUGGAACUGAGACACGGUCCAGACUCCUACGGGAGGCAGCAGUGGGGAAUAUUGGACAAUGGGCGAAAGCCUGAUCCAGCCAUACCGCGUGGGUGAAGAAGGCCUUCGGGUUGUAAAGCCCUUUUGUUGGGAAAGAAAAGCAGCAGGUUAAUACCCCGCUGUUCUGACGGUACCCAAAGAAUAAGCACCGGCUAACUUCGUG